UCUAAAUAUGCGUGUUGUGCAGCCGAUGCUCGUCUGGAUUUACAUAUGUAAGACAACACACACACACAUGUAUAUAUACACAUGUGUUUGUAUAUAUAACAAAUUUUUGCAGCCGCCGCAGUCGCAGCAAAAAGGAAACGACGAUGACAAUGUAAAAAAAGAGGCAGGCGAGCAAAACUGUCUCAAAACGAAAAUUGAAUAUGUAUAGAAUUGAAUAUAUCUAUAUAGUAUAGUUUUCUUUAUUUUCGGCACUUACACAUGCACUUAAUGACUUGGAUGAAGAAGAAUACGGCUAAGAAUUCUUCGACGUCGUCGUCGCGAGAACGAUAAUAAAGCGAAUGCGAAUGCAAAGACACAGCGCCAGCGUCGAAAACACACAAAACCAGCAGGAGAUUGCGCUCAGAGCGACAGACAUAAAGAGAGAACGCGAUAGAGAGAGCAUGUGCCGCAAAAAAGUGUGACCAAAUUUGGCCAAUGCUGAAAAUGGCAAAAACAAAUUAUAGUAACAAGAAUCUUAGCAGCUUAACAGAGGCUGCAGCUGCAAUACUGUUAAUAUAUUAAACAAAAAAAAACAUUGAUUGCUGGUUUCAUUUUUAUCUAUAUGAGCGGCCUACAGCUAAAGAAAACGAAAAGCAAGACUGCAGGCACGCACUAUAUAUUUUUCGUCAAAUGAUUCAAAUAGUUUAAGCGCGCGCUGCCGCACGCAUCCCGAUAAACAGAAACGAGGUAGCAACAACAAGAGCAAUGGAACAGCUGCUCGAGUACAAGUGCACAAUGCCUGCAGGGUUGCCACAAUUUAGAAAAUUUGCGACAUUAAAUUUACCCAAAUUUAUCAAUAAAAAUUGGCACAUGUAAUUCAAAUGAAAAACUUAUGUCAAGCAUCAA